CAAGGUAACCUUAGAGUUUGAUCCUGGCUCAGGACGAACGCUGGCGGCAUGCCUAAUACAUGCAAGUCGAACGAGCUUCCGUUGAAUGACGUGCUUGCACUGAUUUCAACAAUGAAGCGAGUGGCGAACUGGUGAGUAACACGUGGGGAAUCUGCCCAGAAGCAGGGGAUAACACUUGGAAACAGGUGCUAAUACCGUAUAACAACAAAAUCCGCAUGGAUUUUGUUUGAAAGGUGGCUUCGGCUAUCACUUCUGGAUGAUCCCGCGGCGUAUUAGUUAGUUGGUGAGGUAAAGGCCCACCAAGACGAUGAUACGUAGCCGACCUGAGAGGGUAAUCGGCCACAUUGGGACUGAGACACGGCCCAAACUCCUACGGGAGGCAGCAGUAGGGAAUCUUCCACAAUGGACGAAAGUCUGAUGGAGCAAUGCCGCGUGAGUGAAGAAGGGUUUCGGCUCGUAAAACUCUGUUGUUAAAGAAGAACACCUUUGAGAGUAACUGUUCAAGGGUUGACGGUAUUUAACCAGAAAGCCACGGCUAACUACGUGCCAGCAGCCGCGGUAAUACGUAGGUGGCAAGCGUUGUCCGGAUUUAUUGGGCGUAAAGCGAGCGCAGGCGGUUUUUUAAGUCUGAUGUGAAAGCCUUCGGCUUAACCGGAGAAGUGCAUCGGAAACUGGGAGACUUGAGUGCAGAAGAGGACAGUGGAACUCCAUGUGUAGCGGUGGAAUGCGUAGAUAUAUGGAAGAACACCAGUGGCGAAGGCGGCUGUCUAGUCUGUAACUGACGCUGAGGCUCGAAAGCAUGGGUAGCGAACAGGAUUAGAUACCCUGGUAGUCCAUGCCGUAAACGAUGAGUGCUAAGUGUUGGAGGGUCUCUCGCCCUUCAGUGCUGCAGCUAACGCAUUAAGCAUU
rnacentral:rRNA from 1 species